rnacentral:rRNA from 1 species
ACGGAAGGCAGCAGUGAGGAAUAUUGGUCAAUGGGCGGAAGCCUGAACCAGCCAAGUCGCGUGAAGGAAGAAGGUAUUAUGUAUUGUAAACUUCUUUAGCAGCAGAGAAAUAAGGUGGACGUGUCCACUGACGCUAGUAUGCUGAGAAUAAGCAUCGGCUAACUCCGUGCCAGCAGCCGCGGUAAUACGGAGGAUGCGAGCGUUAUCCGGAUUUAUUGGGUUUAAAGGGUGCGCAGGCGGUCUUUUAAGUCAGUGGUCAAAUCGUGGUGCUCAACGCCAUCCCGCCAUUGAUACUGGGAGACUUGAUUGCGGUUGAGGUAGGCGGAAUUCGUCGUGUAGCGGUGAAAUGCAUAGAUAUGACGAAGAACACCGAUUGCGUAGGCAGCUUACCAAGCCGUAAAUGACGCUCAUGCACGAAAGUGCGGGGAUCGAACAGGAUUAGAUACCCUGGUA